UAAGAGGGUGUGUCGGACUAAUUUUGUAGUGUCAGAAUCAGUUCUGUAGCUGGUCACCACGCACGCCUACUCAACUGCACCAUGCCACCGUCCCACUGCUCAUAAGUACACUUGGCGCAUGGUCGUUGUCGUUGGAUGUACCUUGCAUACACACAACAACCACCAAUUAGCAUGCACAAGUUCAUGUACAGUAACAUUACAAAUUUGCAAUGAAACCUAAAAAGAUCUGUACUUUGAAAUACUUCAUUUUACUUUCCAAAUACUUUAUUUGUUUUGAAAUAUGAACUUCUAUUUUUAUUUCCUUAGAACUUAUUAUGAUUUCCCUCCGAACAACAAAAACAUGUUUGGUUUACUUACCCAUAAAAUAUUUGAAGUAUGUCAAAUGAAAAAACAUUCCGAGGCCUGGAAGUGAGAAAACACAUUACACUCAUCGAGGUAGAUAUCGUUCUGUGCGUACCUUGCCACAUACCACAUCGGAUUCCAAGAUUCUAGAUGAACUUCAGCAAAGUGAAGUGAAACCUUUUUCUAACCUAAGAACUGCAGAAAAUUAGCUCAAUUUAUUUAACCACAACAAAUAAACUCUUAAGUACUUCUGGCAAGUAUAUUUGAAUGAACAUAUCCUUUUUCUAGUUACUGAAUUCCUAACUACUCCAAAUAAACUUUUAACUACUUGUGGCAAGUAUUUUUGAACUGACCUUUUCCAUGUUUUUUGUGUGUGUCUUUUCCCAAAUCUUUUCCAACCCUCUUCUCUGAACUUUUAUAUUUAUUUUUCACGAACUUUUUAAGUUAUCCUAGUUGAACUUCUAGUGUUUUCUUUCUUUUACUAAUUUUUCUUUGUCUAGUAUCAUCUCUGUCUCGUAGUUUCCCAUCCAUCUCACUAUGUUCGAACUUUUGGCAAUCUGGAAAUGAACUAUCUGUGAAAACACAUGCUCCAGUAUAAUCUGAGACGCCAAUUCAAGCAAAACAAUCAGUACUAUUCACAUUUAUUAACAACAGCUUGAGAUGCUCAUGUAGAGGCUAGUGCAAGCUACUAGUACUAGGCAUCCAGCGUGGUUGGAACAAACUAGAUGAACAAAUGAUUUAACGGGGUAGCACUACAUACACAGGCAUGAAUAGGAACAACGCUAUGUACCUGGAGACCGGCCACAACAGCAAGCGACACAUGCGACUACGUCAAACUUAACCACGAUGAGGCGGCCACCAACAGCGGACCGUCACCGAAGCCCUUAUUGAAUGAACACAUGCGACGAACACCUGCAUUUUGUUUUCCUUUUGUUUACUGAAUGGUCGUGAAGCUUCACAGUUGGAAGCUUUUAUGCAUGUCAAUCUUUCACAGUUGAAAGUAAUCUGAGCUAUCUCAAAACAUCGAACUGAUACAUACAUGCAAGAACGAAACCGGUACAAGCAAUACAAACAAUCAAUAUGAGGAGGAAUCUCUAGAUGAAUAAGAACAGAGCUUCAAGAAGAUUCAUCAAAUUCAUACCAAAAAUAUGAGGGGUCACGGUACACCAACCAAUAGGCUAUGCGGGAGGAGGGCACCACCUACGGCGGGAGGACGGUGUGACCUGCAGUUUCAGUGGUAUAUGCCUAACAAUAAUUGGAAGGUAGAUGAUCAACCAGUGUCGGCCUCCAAGGCCAACAACCUUCUUGACAACACAAUGUAGACCGACCAACAUGGACUUUGUUGGGUUUAGUUUUUUUAUUCACGCACUGUUAGGCGUGCCCAUUUUGAACUUACAAAGUUUUAUAUACCCAUAUGAACCUACAAAGUUUUCCUAUAGCCAUUUUGAACUUACAAAGUUUUUCUUGACGAACUUCCAUGUGGUUUGUUUACAAGGAACUUUCAUAAAGGAACUUCUCGCGCAAUUGCACAUGUACUGGUUAUAUUUUCUCCCGAAGCCAGAAUGGUUUUCAUAUGUUUCGUACACUAUGGUGAUGAAUAUAAACAACGGGUGAGCACCAAGACAGCUCCAACAUGGGAUCCCUUUCCCCAAGAGGAAGCAAUAGGAAUUAUUGCUUAGAAAAUAAGCAAGUGCAAGUAUGAGGAGAGUAACAAGAGUUGUACUUUUGGUGUAAGCAUACAUGAGCAGGGCUUGCCCAGAGGCCGCAAAAGGGGCAACGACCUGUGCUGGUUGCAGGAGCUGGACUACCUAGGCAUCACAUCAAAGUCAUUAGCAAGAUUAACCACUACUUUUUACAAGAAUUAGCCAGCAAUUAAAAGGGUGAGAAAUAAGAGUUCUAGUAAUUAUAAUUUCCAAACACUAGUAGCAACCACUGUUUCGGUUCAGUUUCCUAUGAAUAAAAUCAACACCACGUCUCUUUAUGAAUAAAGCAGCAUGCAUUAUGUCAAGGCCAUGUCCACACUUCCUCGCACAACGAUUCAAAAUCCUCUCAGAUAAGCUCGAACAGGUUGCUAUUCUCAAGCUAUUUGAUUUUCACACAAAAAGUUGUGAGCAGAUAAACUUACACAUUAAAAAGAGUGUAUCAAUUUCUCAAUCGCUAGAGAAAAUAACACGAGAGCGGUGCCAGCUUCCCUGUAAACCCACACCUACGCCCACCUAAUCCAGCAGCGAUCGAGCCAGACGAGAAGGAGCCAGCAUUGAAGCACUUGGGGGAAUGAAGAAACGGAAUCAUCUGGGUUCCAUGUAUAAAUCAUGGGAGCUCCUAGGAAUUUUAUCCAACACAACCAGCGCCUACUACUGUCAGCACCACAUUUGCAGCUGCAGGAACACCGCCAACUGAACGGACUCUGGUGGCGGUGCUUAACGGCCUAGG
rnacentral:lncRNA from 1 species